UUUUACAAAACACUUUCACCUAUUAUAACUUCCAUUCGAUUACCGUUGUAAAAAAAUGGCAGGUUAUAUAGUCACUGUUGUAGUGGGCGGUAGGUUAUAUAGUCACUGUUGUAGUGGGCGGUAGGUAGGUUAUAUAGUCACUGUUGUAGUGGGCGGUAGGUAGGUUAUAUAGUUACUGUUGUAGUGGGCGGUAGGUAGGUUAUAUAGUCACUGUUGCAGUGGGCGGUAGGUAGGUUAUAUAGUCACUGUUGCAGUGGGCGGUAGGUAGGUUAUAUAGUCACUGUUGUAGUGGGCGGUAGGUAGGUUAUAUAGUCACUGUUGUAGUGGGCGGUAGGUAGGUUAUAUAGUCACUGUUGUAGUGGGCGGUAGGUAGGUUAUAUAGUCACUGUUGUAGUGGGCGGUAGGUAGGUUAUAUAGUCACUGUUGUAGUGGGCGGUAGGUAGGUUAUAUAGUCACUGUUGUAGUGGGCGGUAGGUAGGUUAUAUAGUCACUGUUGUAGUGGGCGGUAGGUAGGUUAAAUAGUUACUGUUGCAGUGGGCGGUAGGUAGGUUAAAUAGUCACUGUUGCAGUGGGCGGUAGGUAGGUUAAAUAGUCACUGUUGUAGUGGGCGGUAGGUAGGUUAUAUAGUCACUGUUGUAGUGGGCGGUAGGUAGGUUAUAUAGUCACUGUUGUAGUGGGCGGUAGGUAGGUUAUAUAAUCACUGUUGUAGUGGGCGGUAGGUAGGUUAUAUAGUCACUGUUGUAGUGGGCGGUAGGUAGGUUAUAUAGUCACUGUUGUAGUGGGCGGUAGGUAGGUUAUAUAGUCACUGUUGUAGUGGGCGGUAGGUAGGUUAUAUAGUCACUGUUGUAGUGGGCGGUAGGUAGGUUAUAUAGUCACUGUUGUAGUGGGCGGUAGGUAGGUUAAAUAGUCACUGUUGUAGUGGGCGGUAGGUAGGUUAUAUAGUCACUGUUGCUUUACAGCACUUCCUGUUCUACUGUAAUUAAGUGAAGGCGUUACAGCACUUCCUGUUCUACUGUAAUUAAGUUAAGGCGUGUGCGUUACAGCGCUUCCUGUUCUGCUGUAAUU